UAGGGAAUUUUCGUCAAUGGGCGCAAGCCUGAACGAGCGAUGCCGCGUGAGUGAAGAAGGCCUUGGUCGUAAAGCUCUGUUGCGGGGGAAAAAAGGGCAGCAUCAGGAAAUGGGUGCUGACUGAUGGUGCCCCGCCAGAAAGUCACGGCUAACUACGUGCC
rnacentral:rRNA from 1 species